GGGACUUGUAUCCCGUGCAUUUGCUUCAUUAUUUUAUUCUACAACAUCUUGUCCACAACUAAUGAGAUCAUAAUAAAAACAAGAACAAAAAUUGAACACGCAUUUAACAAGAAAACCAUAGCAAUAGCUCCUUCUGUUUAUUCAAGUAUUGAAUUAUACUAAAAGACGGAGUCUAUUUUCUCAAAUAGAAGCAUACUGAACUGACAUACCCGUCCAAAUAUAUCUUCUUUUUACAUGAUUGAAUUCUCAACUUUUCAAGUUUAAAACUUGUCACCAGCUCAACAUCCCAGUUCCAACCAAAAGGAAAGAACAAAACCCAAAAUUAUUCAUGGCCCAUGAUCCAUAGAUCACAAUUUCACAGUUCGCAGAAUACAUCCAUUUGCAAUUCCAUGGCGUCAUUUGCACACGCAGACAUACAUUUCGCAAUGCAACGAGUGUAAAAAUUACCUCGCUAGGUGGGGCUUUGGACUCUUGUAUAUUCUGUGUGCAAAUAUGGGUUUUGGCCGCCACUUUCUCCUCGUCUUUCCCACAUUGCUG
rnacentral:misc_RNA from 1 species